AAAAAAACUUAUUACAUAGAUGGCCAUCUAUAACACAUUAGGGUUUUGUUGGCUAUAAUUCACUAUCAAGCCACUAAUCCAACCUCUUUAAUAUGAUACGCACAUAAGUAGUGGUUACACACCAAGAUAAAACUCACGUAAUAAUGACCUUCUAGAAUAGAAAGAGGAGAAAAUUCUCAGAAUUCCUGUGGAGCCAUUGUAUUGUGUCAUGCAAUUUAAGACAUUCAAAUUAACCAGAAAGGGAAAUCAGAGAGAGAGAGAAGACAGUUCUAUUUGGCCAAGGCACAAAUGUCAUAGUUGCUAUGGCAUAGUUGUUUUAACACAGCAUCAAAAGGAUGGCAACAAAAGGAUUAGAUCAAGCUUAUAGUUUAAAUGAUACAAAUGACCAGAAGGAAGAAAAUAUAACUGGGCAAGUGAAAACAAAUAUUAAAACUAACGGUCUACUGCAGGAGCAUUCUUCUCAAUUAAUUACCCAGCUUCAUCAAGGCUACUAAAAUGUUUUCACUUUUCAAUACUAUA
rnacentral:misc_RNA from 1 species